rnacentral:rRNA from 1 species
GACAGAGGGUGCAAACGUUGUUCGGAAUUACUGGGCGUAAAGCGAGUGUAGGCGGUUUGGUAAGUCGGAUGUGAAAGCCCCCGGGCUCAACCCGGGAAGUGCACUCGAUACUGCCAAGCUAGAGUAUCGGAGAGGUUGGUGGAAUUCUCGGUGUAGAGGUGAAAUUCGUAGAUAUCGAGAGGAACACCGGUGGCGGAAGGGCGGCCCAACUGGACGAAUACUGACGCUGAGACUCGAAAGCGUGGGGAGCAAACAGG